rnacentral:rRNA from 1 species
AUUGAACGCUGGCGGCAUGCUUUACACAUGCAAGUCGAACGGUAACAGGUCUUCGGAUGCUGACGAGUGGCGAACGGGUGAGUAAUACAUCGGAACGUGCCUGUAGUGGGGGAUAACUACUCGAAAGAGUAGCUAAUACCGCACGAGAUCUACGGAUGAAAGCAGGGGGCCUUCGGGCCUUGUGCUACUAGAGCGGCUGAUGGCAGAUUAGGUAGUUGGUGGGGUAAAGGCUUACCAAGCCUGCGAUCUGUAGCUGGUCUGAGAGGACGACCAGCCACACUGGGACUGAGACACGGCCCAGACUCCUACGGGAGGCAGCAGUGGGGAAUUUUGGACAAUGGGCGAAAGCCUGAUCCAGCAAUGCCGCGUGCAGGAUGAAGGCCCUCGGGUUGUAAACUGCUUUUGUACGGAACGAAAAGCCUGGGGCUAAUAUCCCCGGGUCAUGACGGUACCGUAAGAAUAAGCACCGGCUAACUACGUGCCAGCCGCCGCCGUAA